AUUGAACGCUGGCGGCAUGCCUUACACAUGCAAGUCGAACGGUAACAGGUCUUCGGAUGCUGACGAGUGGCGAACGGGUGAGUAAUACAUCGGAACGUGCCUAGUAGUGGGGGAUAACUACUCAAAAGAGUGGCUAAUACCGCAUGAGAUCUACGGAUGAAAGCAGGGGAUCGCAAGACCUUGUGCUACUAGAGCGGCCGAUGGCAGAUUAGGUAGUUGGUGGGAUAAAAGCUUACCAAGCCGACGAUCUGUAGCUGGUCUGAGAGGACGAUCAGCCACACUGGGACUGAGACACGGCCCAGACUCCUACGGGAGGCAGCAGUGGGGAAUUUUGGACAAUGGGCGCAAGCCUGAUCCAGCAAUGCCGCGUGCAGGAUGAAGGCCUUCGGGUUGUAAACUGCUCUUGUACGGAACGAAAAGCCCUGGGUUAAUACCCUGGGGUCAUGACGGUACCGUAAGAAUAAGCACCGGCUAACUACGUGCCAGCCACCGCCGUAAAAC
rnacentral:rRNA from 1 species